AGAGUUUGAUCCUGGCUCAGGAUGAACGCUUAGCUACAGGCUUAACACAUGCAAGUCGAGGGGCAGCAUGAAGUCAGCUUGCUGACUUUGAUGGCGACCGGCGCACGGGUGAGUAACGCGUAUCCAACCUACCCCAUAGUAGGGGAUAGCCCGUAGAAAUGCGGAUUAAUACCCUAUGUUUUCCGAGGAGGACAUCUGACUUGGAACAAAGAUUCAUCGCUAUGGGAUGGGGAUGCGUCCGAUUAGCUUGUUGGCGGGGUGACGGCCCACCAAGGCGACGAUCGGUAGGGGUUCUGAGAGGAAGGUCCCCCACACUGGUACUGAGACACGGACCAGACUCCUACGGGAGGCAGCAGUGAGGAAUAUUGGUCAAUGGGCGAGAGCCUGAACCAGCCAAGUAGCGUGCAGGAAGACGGCCCUACGGGUUGUAAACUGCUUUUAUCAGGGGAUAAAGUGUGGGACGCGUCCCUCAUUGCAGGUACCUGAUGAAUAAGGACCGGCUAAUUCCGUGCCAGCAGCCGCGGUAAUACGGAAGGUCCGGGCGUUAUCCGGAUUUAUUGGGUUUAAAGGGAGCGCAGGCGGGUGCUUAAGCGUGCUGUGAAAUGUACCGGCUCAACCGGUGACGUGCAGCGCGAACUGGGUGCCUUGAGUGAGUGCGAGGUAUGCGGAAUUCGUGGUGUAGCGGUGAAAUGCUUAAAUAUCACGAAAAACCCCGAUUGCGAAGGCAGCGUACCAGUCCUUUUACUUGACGCUAAAGCUCGAAAGUGCGGGUAUCGAACAGGAUUAGAUACCCUGGUAGUUCCGCACGGUAAACGAUGGAUGCCCCGCUGUCGGCGAUAGAAUGUCGGGCGGCCAAGCGAAAGCGUUAAGCAUUCCCACCUGGGGAGUACGCCGGCAACGGUGAAACUCAAAGGAAUUGACGGGGGCCCGCACAAGCGGAGGAACAUGUGGUUUAAUUCGAUGAUACGCGAGGAACCUUACCCGGGCUUGAACUGCAGCCGAACGAUUCAGAGAUGAUGAGGUCCUUCGGGACGGCUGUGGAGGUGCUGCAUGGUUGUCGUCAGCUCGUGCCGUGAGGUGUCGGCUUAAGUGCCAUAACGAGCGCAACCCCUUUCGCCAGUUGCCAUCAGGUGAUGCUGGGCACUCCGGCGACACUGCCACCGUAAGGUGUGAGGAAGGUGGGGAUGACGUCAAAUCAGCACGGCCCUUACGUCCGGGGCUACACACGUGUUACAAUGGGGUGUACAGAGCGUCGGCGGCCGGCAACGUCCGCCCAAUCGUGAAAGCAUCCCUCAGUUCGGAUUGGGGUCUGCAACCCGACCCCAUGAAGCUGGAUUCGCUAGUAAUCGCGCAUCAGCCAUGGCGCGGUGAAUACGUUCCCGGGCCUUGUACACACCGCCCGUCAAGCCAUGAAAGCCUGGGGCGCCUGAAGUCCGUGACCGCGAGGGUCGGCCUAGGGUGAAGGCAGGUGAUUGGGGCUAAGUCGUAACAAGGUAGCCGUACCGGAAGGUGCGGCUGGAUCACCUCCUUUCU
rnacentral:rRNA from 1 species